rnacentral:misc_RNA from 1 species
UUUCCGUAGGUGAACCUGCGGAAGGAUCAUUAUCGUUGGGCUUCGGCCCAUUCGAGAUAACACCCUUGCCUUUUUGAGUACCUUUUCGUUUCCUCGGCAGGCUCGCCUGCCAACGGGGACCCUUCAAAACGCUUUGUAAUACCUGUAAUCGUCUGAUAUAACAAGCAAAAAUCAAAACUUUCAACAACGGAUCUCUUGGUUCUG